CUGCAACACAUACCCCCUAUUAUUUCUACCUCUUUAGGAAGACACCUAUUCCACAGAGACUGAUUUAUAGGGGGCAGCACUUUAUUUUUUUCUGGAAACCCAAGUUCUCUUUGACUCCUCUUUUUGUCCAAAAGUGAUCUGGUCGGAUCUCACAAGGCCAUCCAAUGAGACCCCGCACAGCAUUUUCUAAAGAAGAAUCGAAGCCUGACCACUUUCACCUUGGGCAAGAAGAAAGGUAAGAGUUCUUCAAAUUCAGCUACAUACCACCGGCUCUCCCAACCUCAGACGGUGGGCAUUUCUGGAUGGAUGGCUGCAGUUAUGGAUAAAGGCUGUAACUGUUAACACAGAAAAACAC
rnacentral:sRNA from 1 species